rnacentral:misc_RNA from 1 species
AGAGAAAGCCCUUCGGGGCGCAUCUCCACCCAUUGCCUGUUAUACAUUAGUUGCUUUGGCGGGCCGAGGCUUUGCCCCGCUGGCUCUUGCAGCUCGCGAGCCCGCCAGAGAACCCAAACCCUGUUUUACAGUGUCGUCCGAGUACUAUAUAAUAGUUAAAACUUUCAACAACGGAUCUCUUGGUUCU